UACGAAGGGGGCUAGCGUUGUUCGGAAUUACUGGGCGUAAAGAGCUCGUAGGUGGUUUGUCGCGUUGUCCGUGAAAACUCACAACUCAAUUGUGGGCGUGCGGGCGAUACGGGCAGACUGGAGUACUGCAGGGGAGACUGGAAUUCCUGGUGUAGCGGUGGAAUGCGCAGAUAUCAGGAGGAACACCGGUGGCGAAGGCGGGUCUCUGGGCAGUAACUGACGCUGAGGAGCGAAAGCGUGGGGAGCGAACAGG
rnacentral:rRNA from 1 species